rnacentral:rRNA from 1 species
CAAGGCUUGACAUAUAGAGGAAAAGUGUAGAAAUACACUCCCCGCAAGGUCUCUAUACAGGUGGUGCAUGGUUGUCGUCAGCUCGUGUCGUGAGAUGUUGGGUUAAGUCCCGCAACGAGCGCAACCCUCGUCCUAUGUUGCCAGCACGUCAAGGUGGGAACUCAUGGGAGACUGCCGGGGUCAACUCGGAGGAAGGUGGGGAUGACGUCAAAUCAUCAUGCCCCUUAUGUCUUGGGCUUCACGCAUGCUACAAUGGUCGGUACAAACGGUCGCGAACCCGCGAGGGGAAGCUAAUCCGAGAAAGCCGAUCGUAGUCCGGAUUGGGGUCUGCAACUCGACCCCAUGAAGUCGGAAUCGCUAGUAAUCGUGAAUCAGAAUGUCACGGUGAAUACGUUCCC